AGUAAAAGUCGUAACAAGGUUUCCGUAGGUGAACCUGCGGAAGGAUCAUUACAGAGCGUGAAGCUAUGCGGAACUUCGUUUCGUGUAGUUGACCCUCCACCCGUGUCGAUUAUCUUAUGUUGCUUUGGCGGAUCGGGCUUGCCCGCGCCCACUUUGUGGGGGAUGUCCGCCAGGGAAGACCAGAACUCUUGUUAUCAGUGAUGUCUGAGGAUGAUAUAUAAUCAUGAAAACUUUCAACAACGGAUCUCUUGGCUCUGGCAUCGAUGAAGAACGCAGCGAAAUGCGAUAAGUAAUGUGAAUUGCAGAAUUUAGUGAAUCAUCGAAUCUUUGAACGCACAUUGCGCCCCUGGGAAUUCCCAGGGGCAUGCCUGUUCGAGCGUCCGUAACAACCUCUCAAGCCUAGCUUGGUAUUGGGACUCGCUGCCCUGGUGGCGGUCCUCAAAAGCAGUGGCGAGCCCACGUAACUCUCCGCGUAGUAAUUCAUCUCGCGACAGAGAAGCAGUGGGAAUUGCCAAAACUCCCUUAAUUGCUCAGGUUGACCUCGAAUCAGGUAGGGAUACCCGCUGAACUUAAGCAUAUCAAUAAGCGGAGGAAAAGAAACCAACAGGGAUUGCCCCAGUAACG
rnacentral:rRNA from 1 species